GUGAGUGUAGCUCAACGGUUAGAGCAUCGGACUGUGGAUCCGAAGGUUGGGGGUUCGAGUCCCCUCACUCACCCCU
rnacentral:tRNA from 1 species